CCUACGGGAGGCAGCAGUGGGGAAUAUUGCACAAUGGGGGAAACCCUGAUGCAGCGACGCCGCGUGAGUGAAGAAGUAUUUCGGUAUGUAAAGCUCUAUCAGCAGGAACGAGACAAGACGGUACCUGACUAAGAAGCCCCGGCUAACUACGUGCCAGCAGCCGCGGUAAUACGUAGGGGGCAAGCGUUAUCCGGAAUCACUGGGUGGAAAGGGAGCGUAGACGGCUGUGCAAGCCUGAAGUGAAAGGCGGGGGCCCAACCCCUGGACUGCUUUGGGAACUGUACGGCUGGAGUGCAGGAGAGGUAAGUGGAAUUCCUAAUGUAGCGGUGAAAUGCGUAGAUAUUAGGAGGAACACCAGUGGCGAAGGCGGCUUACUGGACUGUAACUGACGUUGAGGCUCGAAAGCGUGGGGAGCAAACAGGAUUAGAUACCCCAGUAGUC
rnacentral:rRNA from 1 species